rnacentral:rRNA from 1 species
UACGUAGGCAGCAAGCGUUGUUCGGAGUUACUGGGCGUAAAGGGUGCGUAGGCGGCUUUUCAAGUCUGGUGUGAAAUCUCCCGGCUCAACUGGGAGGGUGCGCCGGAUACUGAGGGGCUAGAGUGUGGGAGAGGAAAGUGGAAUUCCUGGUGUAGCGGUGAAAUGCGUAGAUAUCGGAAGGAACAUCAGUGGCGAAGGCGACUUUCUGGACAGAUACUGACAUUGAGGCACGAAAGCAUGGGGAGCAAACAGG